rnacentral:rRNA from 1 species
GUAGUCUGCAACCCGACUACAUGAAGCUGGAAUCGCUAGUAAUCGCGAAUCAGAAUGUCGCGGUGAAUACGUUCCCGGGCCUUGUACACACCGCCCGUCACACCAUGAGAGUUGAGAAUACCCGAAGUCCAUGUCAAAGUGGCCGAAGGUAGGCUUGAUGAUUGGGGUGAAGUCGUAACAAGGUACC